rnacentral:rRNA from 1 species
GAUCAUGGCUCAGGAUGAACGCUAGCUACAGGCUUAACACAUGCAAGUCGAGGGGCAUCAGGGUGUAGCAAUACACCGCUGGCGACCGGCGCACGGGUGAGUAACACGUAUCCAACCUGCCCUUUACUCGGGGAUAGCCUUUCGAAAGAAAGAUUAAUACCCGAUGGCAUAACAUGACCUCCUGGUUUUGUUAUUAAAGAAUUUCGGUAGAGGAUGGGGAUGUGUUCCAUUAGGCAGUUGGCGGGGUAACGG